UACAGAGGUCUCAAGCGUUGUUCGGAUUCAUUGGGCGUAAAGGGUGCGUAGGUGGCGUGGUAAGUCGGGUGUGAAAUUUCGGAGCUUAACUCCGAAACUGCAUUUGAUACUGCGGUGCUUGAGGACUGGAGAGGAGACUGGAAUUCACGGUGUAGUGGUGAAAUGCGUAGAUAUCGGGAGGAACACCAGUGGCGAAGGCGACUUCCUGGCCUGUUCUUGACGCUGAGGCGGCGAAA
rnacentral:rRNA from 1 species